rnacentral:rRNA from 1 species
UACGUAUGGUGCAAGCGUUAUCCGGAUUUACUGGGUGUAAAGGGAGCGCAGGCGGAAGGCUAAGUCUGAUGUGAAAGCCCGGGACUCAACCCCGGUACUGCAUUGGAAACUGGUCAUCUAGAGUGUCGGAGGGGUAAGUGGAAUUCCUAGUGUAGCGGUGAAAUGCGUAGAUAUUAGGAGGAACACCAGUGGCGAAGGCGGCUUACUGGACGAUAACUGACGCUGAGGCUCGAAAGCGUGGGGAGCAAACAGG